AGACUCAGACUCAACACCCCUAUUCUCUUCUGUACAUGAAGAUAGGUCAUCCCCAGCACUGCUUGGUUUCUAGGGUCAUGGUGAAGACCAGUGAGUUUGUCUGCAUGUGGGAAAAUUAUUUUCUAUCGUGUGUUCCCGUACCUGUGCGUCUGUGACGAGUUUACAGUCAUUCCUAGGGAUAUCUGAAUACUGAACUCAACAGGUUACUACUAAUUGGGUCAGGGGCUUCUUAUCUCCUUGCUUCGACUCUCUUUCAUUCAAGCUGCUCUGUAGCAUCUGGCUCUAGGUGGACUCUGACUGUCCCUCACCGAGAUGAGAUGCUUAGGUUCUCUUUGCCCAGAGCCACUCAGUGAACCUUCCUUCUGCCUGCACAUCUUUCCUUUGGGUGCCACAGAAUGAGGCACAUCAGACAACAGACUGUCAUUCUGCAGCAUGCCAGUUGAAAGUGGGAACAUCGUUUCUGGGGGCCUCUUGGACAAGAACGAUUUUCCACAACUUGCACCUUACAAGUUGGUCAGCCUGAACUUGAACUCCGAUCUCUUGGACCCACGCACCAUUGGUUUCCAGUGACUUCAAAAUCAUUAACUGUGAGACGCUGUAAUGCUGACUGGUCACGGUGUGCGAGAACAGGUUUCUAGAGAAAUCCCAGAGAAAGAAAACCAGAAGACACAAAGCGGAGUAUACAACCCAGGAAAACAAUGAGAAUUACCCACAAAACAAUGGGCGCUGAGGGCUAAGAUCAGUGCAGGUCCGGAGAUGGGCAUGACUCGCUCAGCGCUUUCAGCCUGCAUCUUCAGUGAGUGCUCCUCCCACAAACCCAGGGGCCCGGAGCAUGCUGGGAAAAAAAACGCUCCUACCUGAGCUGCACAAAAGACCUCAGGAGUGGAGGAAGCUGGCUUGAAGCCAGAUGGAGGCAUCCAGACUGCUGGGCCAAGCAGGGAGGUCUGGUGGUGGAGCCUCCGGAUCUCAUAUCCUCUGUAAUCCCAAGGCAAACAGCCCUGGAGGUUUAUCAAGAACAGAGUUAGGGGUGGCAGCGACCGUGAGUCCUCCUGAUUGCUUUAAUCUGCCUUAUGAAUGAAUGCGGACCUAGAGAAACACACACGGUAAACAAAGCCAAUGUCUCAAUG
rnacentral:lncRNA from 1 species